GUGAGGACCCAAUAGCCAUGGGCCUAGCCUUUGGUUUAGUUAAUUUUUGAGUUAUUUUGAACAGUUUUAGAGGGUCGAUAUAAGGACAACCCCUUCCUUUCCCCCUUUUUUUUUUUUUUUGUGGAACAGCUCUGGUCCAAACCACCUGGUGGAGCUCUGCGGCCUCCAGAAACUCUCCUUGCUCAGAGAGUUCUGUUCAAAGACUGGCGUACAGGUCUGCUGAAUCAGGCCCAUAAGAUGUGAUGAUCUUCACCCUGAGGCGGGUUAUUGCCACAGCUUGCUGGCCAAGGUGGCUUUCCUCCAGGAGAAGACAGCUGAGUGAUAGGUUCCAGGAGAACAAGCAGAAACACCUGGAACCUAAAGGCUGCAGUGGCAAAAGAGCUGGGACUUAAACUUCCUAACGUUGCUUCCGUGACGGUGAAUGAAGGAGGGAAAAGUUCAGCUCAAGAAACCUGUGGGAAGGAACCUGAAGGUGGAGGAAACGAUGAGAUGCAGUCGAGCUCAGGUGAACUAAAUGGAAGGAUGGACAUCACUGCAAGCCCUUCGGCGCUUAGAAGUGAAGUGACGUGGGCAGAUGUUUCAAAGUCAGUUGCAGCCAGCGGAACAGGAGGCAAAGCCACAGCUAUAAAUGGAGUAGGAGAUGGCACCAGUGCCAAUCGAAGAGCUGAAAAAUGAACACAAAGCUAAUGAAGAGUUGUAAUCGAGUUUUCCAAAGUCACUGCUGUAAAAUUAGAACCUCUUCCAGUAUUUCCUGAUGUAAUUUGAUCUAAUGAACAAGGACAGAAUGAGAUUAUAGAGAGUGGGAGGAUGAAGAUUUUACCUUAAUACUGACUCUGUAAGAGGAUUGAAACUUUUCUCUUUUUUUUCUUCUCAAUAAUCAACUUUUUACCAUAGUAUAUUAAAGUGUCUUCAGUUACUCUUUUUGACACUUGCAUGACUAAAGAUGAUACACAGAUAUUAAGGGGGAAUUUACCACUCUUUUCUUGUGAAGUAGUCUUUGAUACACUGUAAACAAACUAAUGUAUUUACGAUCUUGUGCCAAAGCUUUAGAAGAGGUAAUUGGGAUGGUUUGUUUGCUCAUAGGUAGAGAAAUCACUAAUUGAAAGAGUUAACUGUUGAAUUCUCGUGUGGUUUAUUCUGGGGGAGGGGCUUAGGUUUGGUAAGCCUGGGUCAAUGCUCCUGACAGACGGUGGCAUAACAGGCAGAGUGUGUUGGUGAGGGCCCAAUAGUAGUGAUGGCGAGCUGAAGCUUUGAAGCUUUCCAUUCACUCAGCGAACCCAUGGGUCGAAGCUUCUUGGUGCUUCAUUUACUCUACUGCGCCAUCAAGAGGACAGUAACUGUAAAACAGGUGAUUAUAAUCACAAAGUGGCUUUAGUGUGUGAAGCCU